rnacentral:rRNA from 1 species
GAUGAACGCUGGCGGCGUGCCUAAUACAUGCAAGUCGAGCGGACGGACGACAAGCUUGCUUCUCUGAUGUUAACGGCGGACGGGAGAGUAACACGUGGAUACCCUCCCUAUAAGUCUGGGAUAAAUUCGGGAAACCGGAGCUCAUACCGGCUGAUAUUUUGAACCGCAUGGUUCAAAAGUGAGAGACGGUCUUGCUGUCACUUAUAGAUGGAUCCGCGCUGCAUUAGCUAGUUGGUAAGGUAAAGGCUUACCAAGGCGACGAUGCAUAGCCGGCCUGAGAGGAUGAUCAGCCACACUGGAACUGAGACACGGUCCAGACUCCUACGGGAGGCAGCAGUAGGGAAUCUUCCGCAAUGGGCGAAAGCCUGACGGAGCAACGCCGCGUGAGGGAUGAAGGCCUUCGGAUCGUAAACCGCUGUUAUUAGGGAAGAACAGAUGUGGACGAAACUGUGCAGAUCUUGACGGUACCGAAUCAGAAAGCCACGGCUAACUACGUG